GGGAGUUCUGCAGUCUGCCUGAAGGUGGAAUUUUCUUAGUGAAAUGGACACAAGAGGAUGAUCCAUAUUGCAUGGUUUUACAAACCAGCAGAAAAACAGCUGGUGAACCUCCACAGGCCUGGACCUUGCUG